GACUGCAUGCCUAUUAUGUUUUUUUUUCUCAUUACAUUUUUGUAGUGGGAAUUUAAAAAAAAAUUGUGAUGACGUCAUCAACAUUUUUGCAAGGACACGUUGAUACGAUUUUGGUUGAUUUUGUUUGUAUACAUGAAAUUGGCCCGUUAGUUGACAGCUCUCAUUGAUUCGGGGUAUCGAUAUUUUCCCCUCCCUCAAUCGAUUUGGGUAUUUCAGACCGCGCAUGCCACAGAAAGGAAAAAAAAACCAGGAGGGACUCCAUUUUGAUUUUUCGAGUCGUUGGGAACGGGUGCAAGUGUUUUCAGGGUAUCCAGUGCGAAGGGGCCAUUUUUGGAGGUAGAGCCCUUAUUUUAGCCAGUUGUGGCAUUACUCUUCUCCAAAUUGCGUUAGAGACGAUUUGAGGCCACCGCAUUUGGGAACGAGGACGUGUGUCCUGUGUUUUUGAGACCCCCGAAAAUUCACUUUAAGGCCGCACACCAUCAGAGGCCUUUUUCUUUUUUUUUCUUUUUCGCAUUACUUUUACCAUUGGGUUUUUUUUCCCUCCUCGUUUCUACGUGUUACCAUCUUUUUGCGCUCUUGGUGUGGAAAGGUUUUUCUGUGUGAAGUUUGGACGAAGGUCAACUAGCCGCCCCGCCCCACCCCAUUUUCUAAGUGAGGACGCCGUGCUGAACUCCGGAAAGAAGGAGAGGCGUUAGUUAUAGGGUAUUAGGUAUUAUUUUAUUUUCUUGUACUUUUUUUUUAUUAUUUAAGUAUAUUCGCGUUCGGCAUUUUCGCCACCGCCAGGAACGGCACUGUUGCGGUACGGACGCGAAGUACUCAUAAGGUUAGGAUAGUAAUUUAUUUAAGUUUUUUUUUAUAUUUAGAUCGAUAGUUUGUACUCAGUCACACAGUCACUCACCUCCCCCGUUCUAAAUAAAUUUAAUUAAUUGUAGGCUCCAA